GUGCCAGCAGCCGCGGUAAUACGGAGGGUGCAAGCGUUAUCCGGAUUCACUGGGUUUAAAGGGUGCGUAGGCGGGCAGGUAAGUCCGUGGUGAAAUCUCUGAGCUUAACUCAGAAACUGCCAUGGAUACUAUUUGUCUUGAAUAUUGUGGAGGUAAGCGGAAUAUGUCAUGUAGCGGUGAAAUGCUUAGAUAUGACAUAGAACACCAAUUGCGAAGGCAGCUUACUACACAGUUAUUGACGCUGAGGCACGAAAGCGUGGGGAUCAAACAGGAUUAGAUACCCUCGUAGUCC
rnacentral:rRNA from 1 species